rnacentral:rRNA from 1 species
AAAUUGUGAGCACUUGCCGAGUUGCAAGCGAGGUGGUUGUGAGCAAUUCGGCAUAGCGGCAAACGGGUGCGUAACGCGUGAGUAAUUUACCUCUAUGUCGAGGAUAGCUUCGCGAAAGCGGAGGUAAUACUUGAUGUGUCCAGACCUCCAUAAGGAGGACUGGGUAAAGAUUUCGCAAGAAGUCGUGUAGAGAUGAGCUCGCGUCCUAUCAGCUAGUUGGUAGGGUAACGGCCUACCAAGGCUUUUGACGGGUAGCUGGCCUGAGAGGGUGGUCAGCCACACGGGGACUGAGACACUGCCCCGACUCCUACGGGAGGCUGCAGUCGAGAAUCUUUAGCAAUGGACGAAAGUCUGACUAUGCGACGCCGCGUGAGGGAUGAAGGUUUUCGGAUCGUAAACCUCUUUCGAUGGAGAAGAAGCUCCGACGUAAGUCGGAGUUGACGGUAUCCAGAGAAGAAGCCACGGCCAACUCCGUGCCAGCAGCCGCGGUAAUACGGAGGUGGCGAGCGUUACUCGGAAUUAUUGGGUGUAAAGGGCAGGUAGGCGGCCAUGUAAGUUGGGGGUGAAAUCCUUUGACUCAAUCAAAGAACUGCCUUCAAAACUGCAUGGCUUGAG